rnacentral:lncRNA from 1 species
CUCGGGGAGCCCGCAGUGUCCCCGGGGACUGCAAGUCAGAAGCGUGCGGGUGGCGCUGGCCUGGACCCCGAGCCUCAGGGACCCCGCGUGCCGCGUGCCAGCGGCACCGGGAAGCCUGCGGCGGUCGGCGGGAUCCUGGCGCCGGUCUGCGGACUGGUCCUGAGAGCAAAAAGGGACCUUCACCAGCAACAUGUUUUGUGGAGAUAAGAGUUCUGGAAUAAAGUGAAUAUUUGACAUAAAUGAUGCACAAUAAUGUCAAGAUCAAAUAUUAAGAAAUGAUGAAGGGAAAGUGAACUCCAGUGAAGGACAAACAGGCAGAAGUCGCCAGCCAGAG